rnacentral:tRNA from 1 species
GCCCUGGUGGCACAAAUGCUUAAGCACUUGGCUGCUAACCAAAAGGUUGGUGGUUCAAACCCACCCAGCAGCU